rnacentral:rRNA from 1 species
UAAUACGUAGGGGGCAAGCGUUGUCCGGAUUUAUUGGGCGUAAAGCGCGUGUAGGCGGCCACGCAGGUCCGCUGUGAAAACUCGAGGCUCAACCUCGAGCUGUCGGUGGAAACCGCGUGGCUAGAGUCCGGAAGAGGAGACUGGAAUUCCCGGUGUAGCGGUGGAAUGCGCAGAUAUCGGGAGGAACACCCGUGGCGAAGGCGGGUCUCUGGGACGGUACUGACGCUGAGACGCGAAAGCGUGGGGAGCGAACAGGAUUAGAUACCCUGGUAGUCCACGCCGUAAACGAUGGGCACUAGGUGUGGGAGGUGUCGACUCCUUCCGUGCCGAAGCUAACGCAUUAAGUGCCCCGCCUGGGGAGUACGGCCGCAAGGCUA